GCGCGGGUGGUGGAAUGGCAGACACGCGAGCCUUAGGAGCUCGUGCCGCAAGGCGUAGAGGUUCAAGUCCUCUCCCGCGCA
rnacentral:tRNA from 1 species